GCCCUGUACAAAUAAGGAUGUGGGCCUGUAAUCCCAGUACAUAGGUUAAAGUAGGAGGGUUGCAGACUGAAGCCAGCCUGGCCUACAUAAAGUCCAUGCCUCAGGGGAAAAUAGUACAGAACUAGUUGUAAUUAUAGCUUCUCGGAACACUAACACAGGCCCUGUGUAGCCACUCCAUUUUUCAGAUGAUCAUAACUAUGAUUUUUCAUGUUCAAAAAAAAGUGUUGUAAGGACCAAAUAACACAAAGCAUAUGAAAGUUUAUUUUAUACUGUAACAAGUUAGCUGAGUGUGUCAGAGGAAGGUGGACUGCUUUUCCUUGAGACUGACCAGAUUUAUUUUUUCAAUAGGAGCUCUGUCUAAACAUCAUCCCAACUUUUGCAAAUAUUAUAGACUAUCCAUCCAUGAAAAAUGCUUUGAUUCCAAGAAUUAAAAAUGCCUGUUUACAAACAUCUUCCCUUGCUGUUCGUGUGAAUUCAUUAGUCUGCUUAGGAAAGAUUUUGGAGUACUUGGAUAAGUGGUUUGUACUUGAUGAUAUCCUACCCUUCUUACAACAAAUUCCCUCCAAGGAGCCUGCAGUCCUCAUGGGAAUUUUAGGUAUUUAUAAAUGUACUUUUACUCACAAGAAACUGGGAAUCACCAAAGAGCAGCUGGCUGGAAAAGUACUGCCUCAUCUCAUUCCCCUGAGUAUUGAAAACAAUCUUAAUCUCAAUCAGUUCAGUUCUUUCAUUGCCGUCAUAAAGGAGAUGCUGAGCAGACUGGAGUCGGAACACAGGACUAAGCUGGAGCAGCUUCACAUGAUGCAGGAGCAGCAGAGGUCUUUGGACAUAGGAAAUCAAAUGAGUGCUCCCGAGGAGACAAACGUUGCACAUGCUGGAAGUCAGCAGAUUGACAAGGUCUUUAACAACAUUGGAGCAGACCUUCUAACUGGUGGUGAAUCAGAAAAUAAAGAAGAUGGGCUGCAGAAUAAACAGAAAAGAGCAUCACUUACACUUGAAGAAAAACAGAAAUUAGCAAAAGAACAGGAGCAGGCACAGAAGCUGAAAAGCCAGCAGCCUCUCAAGCCCCAGCCCCACACUCCCAUUGUGCCCAUCAAACAGACUAAGGACUUGACAGACACAUUGAUGGACAACAUGACCUCAUUGAGCAGCCUUUCUGUUAGCACUCCCAAGCUUUCUGCUUCAAGUACCUUCACGUCUGUUCCUUCCACUGGCCUCAGCAUGAUGUUCUCUACACCAAUUGAUAAUACAAAGAGAAAUUUGACAAAUGGUCUAAAUGCCAACAUGGGCUUUCAGACUUCCGGGUUCAACAUGCCAGUCAAUCCAAACCAGAACUUCUUCAGUGGUACAAGCACAGCUGGAGUGACCACGAUGACUCUGGGAGCAGCCCCCACUCUGUCAAACUACAGUUCUUUGAGUGUUCCUUCUGCUGGUGUGAAGCAGGCUCAACAGAGACCAACCGAUAUGUCUGCCCUUAAUAAUCUCUUUGGCCCUCAGAAACCCAAAGUUAGCAUGAACCAGCUAUCCCAACAGAAACCAAAUCAGUGGCUGAGUCAAUUUGUACCUCCUCCAGGGUCCCCAGGCCUGGGCAACGCAGCCAUGGGCACGCAGGAGAGCCAUGUACUGACUUGUACAGCAAACAGACGAAGCACCCGGAUACGGCUUUCUCGACCACUGCCUUCAUACGCGAGUUUGAAUUCAAACUUCUGAAGUUGCAGCAUAAAUGAAUUACAUUUUCAAAAGGAGAUUUGUAAAAAAAAAAAAAAAAAAAAAAAAAAAUUAAACUAUAUUUAAUGAGUAAACUUGAGAUUUCUGCCAUAUUGUUUCAAGUGUAAUAAACUCUAAAAAUGAGUGAGCCAUUGGUACCAACAGAUUGAAUGUUAGCUUGCCAUGGUAGUCCAGCCUUGUUAGUUACUACUAUUGAAGUUUAAUUCUUUUCUAGGAGUCCCAGAAACAUUUUGUUUUGUUUGGACAUUUUAGUGUCUGUAAAUCAGUCACUGUUAGAAAAGAAGAAAUCAAUUCUAAUAGGACACGCCUCACUUUCCAGAACCUGUCUCUGAUGUUUGUCUUUAAUUUGCCGAUUCUACCACAGAGCCUUAUGCUACAGCUGUCCUUUGUAUUUUUAAAAAUUAUAUUCCACUGUUAUGUGAUAACUAAAGAAAGAACUCUUUUAAAACUGUGUAUGUAUUAUAGUUGUUGCCAUAGUUUGUGGUUUUUAAUUAUCUGGAACCAGCAAUCAUUUAAAAUAAAUCAUAUAAAGUUUAGUGUGCUGAUCCUAAGUUUAUUAAAUGGUUGAAUGUUCAUUGAAAAAAAACAUAUAUACACAUAUGCACGUGAUGUGCGUACUGUGCAGUACUUGAUGACAGUGUAUAGAGUUAUGCCAUUGCCAGUGCUGAUAGCAUCCUCUUAGUGAAAGCACACUUAGAGAAAUGCGAGUUGGUGCUUACACCUGGCACUUGGGUGGCAUGCCUGCUAAAGAACUGGGAGGAUACAAAGGAUUCACUCGAGAAGCAAAAAGGCAUUUGUCAAAUAUUCAAAACUUCACCUGACUUGUUUUAAACACAAUAUUUCUUCUGGGAAAUGUUUUAUAUGGAAUAAAAUUGGUAUUAAGACCAUUUCUUUGUUAAUGAUUCAGUAGCUACUGUUUAUUCAGUAAUUCUUUUUAGUUUUUAUGUGUGGGUGUUUUGCCUGCGUGGGUGUAGGUGCACCAUGUACAUGCAAUGCCUGUAAAGGCCAGAAGAAGGUAUUGGAUCCAGUUUCAGUUAUUUCGUUGACAAAACACCAUGACCAAGGCAACUUACAAAAGGAAGCAUUUAUGUGGGGGCUCACGGUCGACUAUCAUGAUGGGACUGCAUGGUGCCCAGAGCAGUAUCUGAGAGCUUACGUCCUGAUCCAUAAGCUUGAGUUGGUAGUGGUGGAAGGGAGAGAGGGGAACAGAGGGAGGGUGAGCACACAUGCAGGGAAUGGAGUGGGCUUUUGAACUCUCAAAGCCCAACCCCCAGUGACACACCUCCUCCAACAAGGCCACACCUCCUAAUCCAUUGGGGACCAAACAUGCAAAUAUAGGAGCUUAUGGCUGCCAUUCUCAUUCAAAUCACCACAGAUAUCCUGGGCUUGGAGUUAAGAUGUUUGCAAACUACCAUGUGGCUGGGAUUCAAACUCAGGCUCUCUGGAAAAGCAGCCUAAUCACUCUUAACCACGGGUCAUUUCUCCAGUCUUUUUAUUUUAUAAAGUAGCUUGGUAAUAGUGUUGAAUUCCUUAUUAGAAGGAAAGAAACAUCUAUAUGUGUCUUAAACUUUAAAUUGAAAGACCCCCCAGAUCACUAAGGGGCACAGAGUCCCAGGAGCCCCUGAGACUCAGAAACCAGACCAAGAGCUGCAAAAGCAAGAGGGUUUAUUGAACGAAUGCGCAUUCGGGUGUCAGCAAUAUCGGGAAAGCUGCACACCCCAGCAUGGGGUGCAAGCUCCUUAUAUAGGAAAAAACUGCAGAUCAGCAUACAGGCAAGGGGCACAAAGUGAUCGAUACAUACAAAGUAUGAUAUCAUGUUAGAGUGGUCACCCAGGAGUGACCUGCUUUUCUACAAAGGAAAAACCACUGAACGUACCCUGAAAAGUCCUUGAUUGUCUGUUGGCCAGCCAGGUGUGACCCAAAAAGGAUUGUUUGUCUGCCCUUGGGUUGGGGCCAACUUCCUUGUCCUGGGUCAGGGCCUGUGGGAAACUUUUUCUCUGUGUGAACUAAAAUCUUUCAAAAUAUGCCAAUAGAUAACUUGAAAAACCCAAUAUAUAGUUCUUAAGUAACUUACAAGUGUUAAAAGAUGUCCUUCCCUGAGGACUUAUGCAUAGCCAAUGAGGAGGGAGAGACAUUUGCAUAGCCCAUAGGGGAGGAACUCUAUAGUGGUGUAGCCCUUACAAAGUCCAAUGUUCCUGUAAAUAACCCUAAUGAAACACACACAUGGGGUGGGGUUACAGAAAAGGGGUAGUUGGGCAGAGGAAGGGCAUUAGGAGUUGUGGGUGGGCAAAAGGUAA
ensembl:lincRNA